AGAUCGGUGGAUGCUAGAAUGCAACAUGCUUAUGAAAUGAAGCCACAUCCAAUAGAGCCGGGAAUUCUCUUGACAUCAUUAAGGAAACAUUUUUCUCCUGUCCGUCCGGGAAUUCUCUUGACAUUAAGGAAACAUCAUGUCAGAGAGAGGAAAAAAAAAAGUGAGAAGGAGAUAUAAUCAAAAGGAAUUUAACCUGAGUGUUUAAAUUCUUCCUUCUCAUCAGCCUCACCUCAGACUCACAGGCAGCACUGAGAAGGGAAGAAGCAUUUCUUCUGAAUUCAUUUCGCUCCUUACAUUUUUCACGUCAUACAGAUAAACUGCCAAAGCUGUGAAUUCCCAAAAUUGUAAGCGCAGCCAAAUCUUCCUAUCAUGGACUAUAGGGACUAUCAGGGCCGCUGCCUGCUGCUUUUAUUCAUCGCCGUCCUCCUGGAUGCAGUAGGCCUCAUCGUCUUCUUCAUCGGGGUUUUUGCUCCGCUCAGCUUCUGGGAUUUCUUCGUCUUCUUAGGACCCCUCAUCAUCUUCAGCAGCCUGAUGUUCUGGAUUUUGAGUUACUGCCCAAAUGAUAAUUCAUUUGCAACACAAAUUAAGUUUUCACAGUUUUCCAGCCACCGGUGCUGGAAAAUGAAACUAAAGCUACAGGUACAGGGUGAAAAUUCUCAGCUUCUACUCGAUCUCGCUGCAGGAUGUUUGUGUCUUUGCUUCUCCACCAAAAGAAACGUGGAACAGACAAAACAUGGAACUUUAAUCUGAAAGGGCAUCUGUAUAAUGACACUAGAGUUCACAAACUGGGACGGACCGGGACACAGUUUUAAGGAGGGGGCCACAUUUGUAAAAUCACAUUUGAAACCCUGGUUCUUGGAAAACUGUACAUUGAUAAUAGAUACAUUGUUUAUUCAUUAUUCAGUCCAAUAAAUUAAUGUAAAAUAAUAUCAAUAAAUAGCUGCUAUUUGUAACUCCAAAUAGCCUACAAUCAAGCAAUCUUUGUAGUCUUGUGCAUCUCUUUGUAGUUUUUUUACAUUUAUUUGUGCACGUUUUCGCCUCUUUGAAGUCUAGUGCAUCUGUUUUUAGUCGUGUUGCGUCUCAUUGUAGUUGUUUAGCAUUUUUUUGUGGAUGUUUUUCGCCUCGUUGGAGUCUGGUGCAUCUGCUUUUAGUCGUUUUGUGUCUCUAUGUAGUUAUUUUGUAUCUCUUUGUAGUCGUUUUGUGUCUCUUUGUAGUUAUUUUAUAUCUCAUAGUCUCAUAGUGGUGGGUGG